GGGGAAAAAAGGGGGAGGGGGAAGUUUGCUGUACUGUAAAAGCCGGAGGAAAUUUUCAGGAAUGGAGAAGUUGGUCAAAAUGAUUUGUGGGAUAGUACUGAAGUGCAAAAACUGAAGGACCGACAGAUCAAGAAAGAGUGGUGUACUCUCUGGAAGCAUCAGACCUCAAUGAGUGUUUAUAUUUCUACCACAUGGUUCUAUAACAGUGAUAAUGAUAUGGCUGUCUUCAAAACUGUAUGAAGCAUUGUAGUAAGCCAGUCACAAGAAUGGAGGAGAAACGUUUUUCAUAGUUUUGGUGUUCUCCUAAGAUGUGCAGCAUGAGUAAUAAGAUAGACUCCCAUGAUGCUCAAAAGUCAAACCUUGUAGUCUGUUGUUGUAAACAUCCCCGACUGGAAGCUGUGAAAUGAAAUCCGAGCUUUCAGUCAGAUGUUUGCUGUUGCUGGCUGCAUUUUACUUCUCUGAGAAUUUGGGAAACAUGGCUGAAUAUUAAAUAUAUGCUCAUUUGUAGCAAAUAUUUUAAAUAUAUAGGAAUGUUACUGUUUUAGAUUAAAAGGUGUUUUUCACAAAAACAGCAAGCUUAUCCUGUUUGCAUUAUUACUAUGAAAUGGUUUAUAAAAAGUGCAUACCUGGCAUAUUCCCUGGUAUAUACUUGUUGUUGAUUGUCAUUAUUUGGAUACAAUAAUGGUGAAUUGAAAAACUGAAUCACUAUAAUAUAGUGACGCUGGUGCACAUCUGUAAAAAGCUUUAGGCCAACAUAGCUUGUCUAUUUCUGUUCAGGCAAGUAAACCCUUGGGUUGAAGAGAAGCAAGUCUUGUGAUAAUGAAAACCCUGUAUAAAAUUUGCAGAUCAUCUGGGUAAAGAGGUGCAGAUGGAGGGGUAGGUCAAGGAUUAAGCUGAAGAAAACAUGGAUAUCAUUUGAAAAUAGAAGAAAAGGUCUGGCUCCCUGAAACUCUCAAGACAGAGGUGGGAUUGGAAGGAAAAUUGUAUUAUCUGGGUACUUUUAAAUAAUCGGCUAUUAAUUGGAUAGAUCAGAAAAAUUUGUGGCACGUGUUUAGUGAUUACAAAAGUGUCCAUAUACUCAUUCUUCUGCACUCUUUACAAACAGGGGGAGAGUAACAUACAUUUUGACCACAUUUUUUAAGUUGUUUGCCUAAAGAUAUGUUCACUUAAUAAGUGGACACUUACCAACUUGCCUAUGCAGAGUUUGUGCAUUCACCACAUGUAGCUUUUCUCCAGGUACUCUGAUUUCCUCCCCCAUCACAUGACCACACCAAGUCUACUGGGAAUGGUUUCUGCUGCCUUUACAACAUCACGUUGGAA